rnacentral:rRNA from 1 species
GACGAACCGAGCGAACGUUAUUCGGAAUCACUGGGCUUAAAGGGCGCGUAGGCGGGCGAUCAAGUCAGGGGUGAAAGCCUCCAGCUCAACUGGAGAAGUGCCUCUGAUACUGGUUGUCUCGAGGGAGGUAGGGGCGUGCGGAACUUCCGGUGGAGCGGUGAAAUGCGUAGAUAUCGGAAGGAACACCGGUGGCGAAAGCGGCGCGCUGGACCUCUUCUGACGCUGAGGCGCGAAAGCCAGGGGAGCAAACGGG